UUAGGAUCGUCAAGGGAUUGCCCUCGUCAUUCAGGUAUUGGAAGUCGCGCUUUUUCUUUGUGUCUGGGGACGACUUCGAGACCCAAUCUAGCAGUGAUUGGGGUGAUAUCCCGAGGUUGCUCCGUCGGUGGGGAACCCCGACCUUAGUUAAGAGACGGCCUGGGCUGAAGAGACGAUAUAAGGAACGCAUAGAGACCGCCAUCGGGUACGCUGAGACGAUUGAGAGCUGGGACGAGCUGGUUGACCCUCGAUCUCUUGCGUUUUACAACCUCGGUCCUGACCCAUCUCCUUUCGUUCUUCGUCAGCUUGGCAUUGAAGGAAAAAAGAAGAUGACGACCAAGUUUAACAAGGACAUGUAUGCAAAGAUGAGGUCAAAGAAGGACGAACCCCUGUCCAAUUUGGGGAAGAAGACCGUGCGAGUUACCGGGAAGGGUUCUGCCUCCAUCCCGCUCAGCAUUGUUCCUUCCAUAGCCUCCGAAACGACGAGGACUGCCUCCCCGGCCGUUUCAAUAGAAGAGAUUCCUACUCCUGGCUCUAAAAGGCCGCGCGUGGUUGGCAAAGGAAAGGAGAAGACUGAUACUCGUUCAUCCACAAUAUGGGAUGACGAGUCAUUGGCCGUGGAAAGGGCUCACGAGGUUGUUACUUCAGCGGACUUGAAGGCUCUAUCUGACUUAUCCUUAAACGAUGUGGCUUCUCAUCAUGUCCACAAACUGGUCCAGGUGUGUGUUCUUCCCUCUUCAUCAUUUCAUUUUUUUUUUUUUUUUUUUUUUAUAGACGACUUCAUAACUUCCUUCAGGUGUUGGGAGAGAGUAUCCAUAUCACUGCUGAGUACCUCACUCAAGGGGCCAAGGUGGCGUCUCUGGCAACCCGGAUGGAGGCUCAGGAGAAGGAGAACUCUGACCUGAGGACGAACCUGAUCACUUCCAUGGACGAGGCCACGACAUUGAAGGAGAAGGUCAAGGUGCUGGAGGACGACCUCAGAGUUGAGCGCGGGUUGACUCAGGAGAAGGACGAGCAACUUAUGGCGGCCAAGGAGAAGCUAGUGACCAUCGCUGCUCGAUCC